GUUUGUAUUUUGAGUCCGUAAUUGAAUCAAAAGUGAAUCAAAACGUGAACAUCCAGACUACAUUUUGUAUGCUUGUGGAUAACUUCAACC
rnacentral:sRNA from 10 species